GGGACAGCUAGAGAAACAAGAGGACCAGUCCCCAACCCAGCAUCUUGGGUGUGUGUGGGGGGGCUGCACUAGGAAGAGGUGUUCUAACAUUGGGCUUUGCAGACCCAUGGGGCUUAACUUCAGAGUUUCUACAAGCAGCAGGGCAUAAUUUCAGGUACUUAAAAAAUCUGCAGGCUUAAAACUGGGUGGUGUAAGCCCCCACAACCUCCCACGUUUCAGACCUAUGGUUCUUAGCUCCCCCUUACCAGAGUCACAUAGCCCUUAGCUACUGUUAAAACUGGAAAAUUGCCUCAGGAAAUAAAGUUGCCUUCGGAAGAGUCUGUGGGAUGCCAUUCUACCGGAGAUCCACAUAAUGUGCCAUGUCUGUGAGGGGGGAAAAACAAUUUGCAGCUUAGCAGUAGUCACAGAACUAGAACUUCCAUCUGUGCUCUAGAGAUGACAUCACUAAUGUAACCUGCUGAGAACGUUUUGCAGUGCCAGGGCCCUGAGACCAAACAAUCACCUCUCUACAGUCACACCAAAGCCCAGAUGUUACCAGAAGGGACAAGAUGAUCAAGAAAAGAAGUAUUACAGGUUGGAGGGGACCUCACUCCUGCAGUCGGCUGAGAAUGUCGUAUGGUACCAGGACCCUGGAGCCGAAUGACCACCUGACUCCAACCACACCAAAGCCAGAUGGGACUGAAAUUGCCAGAAGGGACAAGAUGAUCAAGAAAAGAAUCAGCCUGACUCCAGCCCUUGAGACCCCUAUUUUGAAUUUUCACCCUUUAAAAGCCUCCUGUUUGUAAGCCAGGGGGUGGAGUUUGGGACUUUGAGCUUUAACUUCCCAUCCUCCUGGGUGGUGCCGCACCAAUAAAAAGCCUAUCUUCACUGUAAACACUUAGUGUCCAUUUUUCUUUCCUUGUUGUACAUCAGGUGGACAGCCUCAUUUGGUUUACAGGCUUAGCUCUGGGAGAACCAGAGGGCAAGAGGAAACCGAGUCUUCCCCUUUAAAGAGCCAGAAUAAUCCAGCAGAGACAGAGCAAUGCAGCAGUUUAAAGAGCAUCUGGUGUAUAGGGGAAGGAGCUUUGCUAAUCUAACACUGGUGGGGCUGGGAGACCUCCUUAAGGCUAAAAGAGCUGGUGGGGACCAUUUUUCCCACCCACCCCCACUGCCAGGCUAGAUAAGCUGACACCUGUGGG
rnacentral:lncRNA from 1 species